rnacentral:lncRNA from 1 species
GUGAUACGUGCAGAUUCUAGAGAGAGAUUAGAGAGAGAAACUAAGAAGAUUAUGGCAACUCAACGAUACCCUUUCAUUGCUCGUUAUUACAGUUUAUAACCCAGUAACUGACUAACUGUCAAGUUACAUAACUGGUCCUCUAACUAUUACAGCUAAUACAACAAUUCACAACUAUUAUACUAUUUACAACUAGGUCCCUCAACUAUAACCCUGUAUCAAUACUUUCCCCUCAAAAGAAUUUUGACCCAAAAUUCAAAAGUUAAAAUUGGGGAACCUAAUCUGCAUUUCUUCUUUAUCCUCCCACGAAGCUUCGGUCACAGGUAGCUCUUUCCAUUUAAUCAGCACUUCAACUCCCAUAUGAUUUCUUUUCUUCACAAUUCGACUACUAACCACUGAUUCCGGGUAAUACACAAAACGAGGCUGCUCCGGUAAUGGAAUGACAGGCAGGGAGUCGCCUCUUGCCGCCUUGAGCAAGGAAACAUGGAACACCGGAUGAACUGAGCUAUCUUGUGGCAAAUCCAAUCGCUUAAGAUAAACAAAUUCCCCAACUUGAAAUGUUCUCUCACGAUUUUUUUAGGUCAGAAAUCAUUUGUUCUCUACUGCAACACAAUUGAUCCACAGCAUCUAUGGUACAAUCCUUGGGAAUAUAUGGCACAAAUAAGGGCGGUGGAUACCCAUACAGAGCUUGAAAUGGGGUCAUAUUGAGAGAAGAGUGGAAGUUUGUAUUGUACCACCAUUCUG